CCCUCGAUGGUGUAGUUGGUAUCACAACAGGCUGUAAUAGUCUUCAGAAGCUCCAAACUUCUGAGUUUAAAAUCGUAACCUGCAGGUCACCAGUUCGAAUCUGGUUCGAGGGA
rnacentral:tRNA from 2 species